GUAUUAUAUGAAAGGCGAGAAGGUUAGCACUCCCCUUGACAAGGAUGGAAGAGGCCCUCAGGCCUGACAACACGCAUACAGUUAAGGCAUUGCCACCUACUUUGAGGCAUCUAAUCAAAUUACUAU
rnacentral:ncRNA from 1 species